rnacentral:rRNA from 1 species
UCCGUUGGUGAACCAGCGGAGGGAUCAUUACUGAGUCUACGAACUCCCAACCAUUGUGAACAUACCACUGUUGCUUCGGCGGCCGCGCCCCGGGACGCCGCGUCCCGGACCCAGGCGCCCGCCGGAGGCCCCAAACUCCACUGUAACUUCUGUAUACAUCUGAGUGGCAUAAGCAAAUAAAUCAAAACUUUCAGCAACGGAUCUCUUGGUUCUGGCAUCGAUGAAGAACGCAGCAAAAUGCGAUAAGUAAUGUGAAUUGCAGAAUUCAGUGAAUCAUCGAAUCUUUGAACGCACAUUGCGCCCGCCAGUACUCUGGCGGGCAUGCCUGUCUGAGCGUCAUUUCAACCCUCAGGGCCCCUUCCCCCCGGGGAGGGGCGCCCUGGCGUUGGGGAUCGGCCGCCCCCCGCGGCGCGCCGGCCCCGAAAUGCAGUGGCGGUCCGUCCCGCGACCUCCUCCGUGCAGUAGCGAUACCUCGCGGCUGGAUGGCAGGUCGGGCCACGCCUCGAAACCCCCCAACUUCUUCAAGGUUGACCUCAGAUCAGGUAGGAAUACCCGCUGAACUUAAGCAUAUCAAUAAGCGGAGGA